CCAAAUGCCCAUCGCCAUUUGCUUAAUUGUUCAAGUUCCAUCGCCACGCAACGCGUCUCCCCUGCAUUAUAUAUUCACUACUCGCCCAUCUCAUUUUCGCACACCAGCAUGUCCUUUUAAUAGCACCGCCGCCCUGGAGGGAUGGUUAAUUUUACAUGCAAUAAUAUAUAUAGUUAUUCUUUAAUGCAGUCCUCAUGUGAGAAAAUUAUUUUAUUACUUAGGUUCAUUAAGAGAUUUUGUGUUCGAAUCCCAAGUAUAUAUUAUUCUUAUUUGUCAUUUUGUGUUUAUUUUUAUCAUUUUUAUUGUUAGAUCCAGCAUGUACAGAUGAGUAUGUGACAAAUCCAAUCGUUUAUUAAUUAGUAUUUGGUUUAAGAGGUAAGAAGGUCUUGAUAUUUAUUGUUAUUAGAGUUUUUCUGAUUAAAGAGGAAAACUAGAAAGCAUCUAAAAGACGCAAAAGAAAAUCUUCUACCCCAAAUAACAACUAAAAUUCCCAACUUGUCAAAGCACAAGUGUCAACCUACGGCUAAAGUCUAUAUUCUAGUAGUAUGUAGAGAGUAGAGUUGAACAUAAUAUUUGCCAUGGGCCCGGAGUGAAAUCAAAUCAGAAUCCGCCAGUGAAAGUCUUACUCUUACAACAACAAAUUUGAUUUAUAAAUUCUCCUGAAUACUAAUAAGAAGGCUUAUGUAUGAAAGUACGUCAUUGAGAUACAUCGGUCAAUUGCAAGAAUAUUAUUAAUUACCAAAUUGUCGAGAAGGUAUUAAAUGAGAUAUAUGGACCAUGUAAAUUAUUGUACCGUAUUGCAAUAUUUACUUCAUAGAUUAGAGAGAGUUAUAUCCCUUUUUCUCUCCUUCAAAUAAAUAACUAAGAAAAUCUAUUUACCUUAAGCAUUAAAAUGCCAAAAAAAAAAUAUAAAAUUGAAAGAGUUAAAUAUAAUAUUUUAAAGAUAUUAUGAUUUUAUCAUCAAUAUGUUUUCUGACAAUUAAUUUUUCACUUAAUAUUUUAAUUUUUCCCAUUAUUUAUUUAUUAGAGUUGAGGAAAAUGAGAUGUGAGAACGAGAUCCGGUUCUUGCUUUUUACCAAAUAUCGGAUUAGCAUUUAGCACCACCGCUCGCCACUCGCCACAAAGUUCACAAUUCACAAGAAGAGGAGUGUAAAAAAUGGCGCAUCGUUUGUGCUGCUCCGCGACAGCGUCUGCAAAAUGAAAACUACUAACGAAAGGCAUGCCACUUGUUCAUGUGGUGCUGUGCCGAUGCUGAUAGAUUAGGACUUUUAAAUGUGGGGCUUCAGAAGAGAACCCCACUGGACGUGACUUCCUUAAAGAGAAGUAACCCCAAAUUGGUAUGCGGUACACGUGCCAUUAUGGUGAUGUUGAAAUCUGCCUUCCUUAAAAUGGAAUGAAAUCUGACAUUCAUUAACACGUACUUGUGUGGUUGUGGGUCUCACUCACAUCACAUCACAUUCAAAACUCCAAACCCAUUUGAUUUUAUUUUCAUGAAGUUUGCCUUUCUUUCAUUUUGGUCCCCAACAACCCACGGUUCCUUUAUUUUCCCAACUGCUUAUAAUUCAACUUGCGCACAACAAAAAAACCCCCUGUGACUCCAAUUUCCUUUUCUUCUGCUUCAAUUCUAGUUCUACGUUUAAGUACGUUGGUUAAAUCUUUAACGUUUCCGAAAGUUCUUUUCCAGAAGCACUUCUCAAGUGCUUAUUCAAACAAAAAGCACAUUGGUCCUGCCUAAAGAGUACCUAAAUUGGUUGGGUUUUGUUUUGUGUGUGUGUGUGUGUGUGUAAAUAUAAGAGGUGAUGAAAUGGAGGGCGUGACAAAAUGACUGUUACACGAUGACUGUCGAGGUGAAUAAUCUAAAUUUAUGCAAAAUGCUUUUGUUGUUAGAUUCCUAGUUUUCACCGAAGAAGCAGCAAACACAUAAAUAAUAUCAAAAAAUGGUUAAAUUAUAAGGACACUUUUUUUUUUUACGUUAAACCCAAAUAUAUAUAUAUAUAUAUAUAUAUAUAUAUAUAUAUAUUUGCAUGUAUAUAUGUAUACUCUUAUGAAAUGUGUUUCCAUACAUAUAGUGGAUUCUUUUAAUAACCAAUUACAAUGGUACCAUACACAUAUAGCUAAGGAGAGCAGCAACUUUGAUUAGAGAAGUGGGUUAAUAAAAGGAAAUUAUUCGAAAUUGACAACACCGCAACUCUUAUAAAUAAUGGUGACUGGAUCGACUCUGGACCACUCCUCUAAUUUUAUUUAUUUAUUUAUUAUUAUUAUUUUGUUGUUGUUGUUGUACGAUUUCAUCAUCACUUUUAAUUUUGUGUUUGCUGCUGCAAUUUGACAGAUCGAGUAGAUCCGCCAAAUUUGUGUGGUGGCCCCCAUUUCGAUUGAUGAUUGAAGGGUGUGGAUAUAAAGGCAGGAAUGGUUUUGGUCGAUUGUCGUAAUCAAACGGUCAAAUGCGCGGUGCGGUAUGUAAAAGAAAAAAAAAUAAUUUACGGUAACUUUUUCGAUCAGAUUUGUGAUGAUUUUUACGAUUGAGUUCAAAAUGAACUAGAUGUAUUUCAAAUAUUUAGAAAACAAAAAUUGACUCUGUGGUGUAUUUAUAUAUAGGACAAACUAUUUAGUAAGUAUUUGUGUCCACUAUAUAAUGAGCAUCGGCACUGAACACAUAAUAGAAUUUUAUAACUCACAAUGAAUAGUAUUGAAGUUGUAAAUUAAUCAUACAAUGUGGUAAUAGUGUCGCUCAUCAUAAGGUAAACAUUGUCGCUCACUACAAUCAAUACUCUUAAUAUAAAUAUACGCAGGAGACUCUUUACUACCAAACAAGAAUACUCUAAUUAAUGACCCAUUUGAAAUUACUUAUAAGUAGAUUCAAAAAUUAUUUUGAAACACUUAAAAGCCAUUUUUGGCAUUUAGUAAUUUUUUUAAAAAAUCAUUUUUGCCAAAAUUAUCUAUCUUACAACAGAUUUUGAUAAGUAUGGAAGGAAUAACUUUUUAAAAUUUAUUUUUGAGAAUUUAUUUUUAUAUUUAAUACAAUUUCACGUAAAUUAUAAAAAUCUAAAAUUAUUCAUAUUCAAUUGGAAAAUAAAAUCAUUAAUUAAAUAGAUUAUUAUUAUUUUAUCAAUUAUAUUGAGAUAAUUAUAACAUAAAAAAAUAACACGAAUAAAAUGAAAAUAUUUAUUUUACCUAAUCAAUUAUUAUAUAUAAAUGUAUAAAUAAACUUUAUUCAAGUACAGAUGAUUGCUUCUAAGACUUGCAACACUUUUAAAAAUAAAUUUCACUAAAUAUUUAACUGAAUCUUUUAACAGCUGAUUAUUUUUAUAGCACAACUAAUAACAAUUAUUUUAAAAGUUACAACAUUACCAAACUGGUCCUAAGCCUUUAGGGUUAUGUUAUAUAAUUUCUAUAUAAAUUAUAGGACGUUUUAUUAUUUUUGUGGAAGAUUGCCAUACGAGUUGAAGUGGGUGUUCAAAAGAUGCUCCGAAAUUAAGAUAACCUAUCCUAAAUCUUGAAAUUAAUACGAUAUCUCUUUCAUAAUUGUUUAAGUUUAUCUUUUCUUGGUUGGCUAGAAAGGCAUCAAAAUCUUGAACUUCUGCUUCGUAGCACCACCAAUGGCUCCCUGGCAAUGAUGUAACACCUUGUUUUCAACUAUUUGGGCGCAUCUAUAAGUAAAUAUUAGUGUUUUUUUUUUUAAUUUAUCAGAAACAAUUUCUUUUUUUUUUUUUUUUUUGGUUGUAUGUGCAACUCGUGUACUUGCGCUUUGUGUGUUAUAAAACAUUUGUAACACCGAACGACAAUGUUGUUACCAAUAAUUAAAAAAAAAAAAAUUCGUACAAAUAACGGAAAAGCUAUGGUAAUUGUUAGUAAUUUAUUGAUGCUAUCUUACGACCCUAGACUCUUCCUUGUAAUUAACUCAACACUACAAUUAAUGACGACCGUGGCCUAAAUUGGCUCUUAAAAUUGGAGAAAAUUACUCAAAAUAAAUUGUGAACAAAUUUUAAGUCAAGUGCAACUAGCAGAAAGUUGGCGAAGGUUGGUUUUGAGGUUGCAUGUUUUGAGGCUGCAGCCACCCUAUCAAGGAAUGUUUUACAACAGCUGAAGUUAAAACUUAGUUACUGUCCACAAGGGUAUGGUAAUAUUUAAUUCUGAUUUUUUAAAAAAAAAUUAUUUUAAAUAAUGUAGUAUGUGACGUGAAAUUAUUUAAGGGAGAGAUAACUCAGCACUUUUAUUUUUAUUUUUAAAUUUUAAUAUUAUCGUUACUUUAUAAUCUCAUAAGUCUGUCCAAAUUUUUUUUACCUUAAUAGAUAGUACUAGUACGUGUGUUAUUGUCUCUUACACAGUGUGGUGGACCUUCAUGAUACUAAAAUAUUUUUCUUACUGUGAGCAGGAAUAAUGUGAGAGAAAUUAUAGAAUAACUCUGAUAUAUUACAACAAAUUCAUGUAUGCAUGACAUAUAUAAUUGAAUUUAAUAUAACUACCACUUGCAUAAUAAUUUUUUAAAAUAAAUAUAUACAUAUUAUAGUAUCAUUUAUUUAUUGUAUGACUGACUUGAUGUAUUUUUGAAUUUCUAUGUGAGCAAGAACAGUGUGAACGCUCUUACUAAGCUGAAUGAAAUGCACACAGUUAAUUGAUUGAUUGGCUAAUGCAAAGUUGUGCCAAGUCAUGAAUCAUUGGACGGCAGUACAGUUAUUGGAACUUCUUUUAAGUCUCUGAGACGAACCCAUGUGGUGGUUUUGUCUGAAUGCAAUUGAUGUGCUUUUGUUGGUCCCCGCAACAAACUUUUUAACCCGGCUUUUAUCAGUUUUUUCCUACUCAUGGAUGGGAAAUAUGAGAGCAACAACUGGUUCAAUGUAGGUGGCUAUAUUUAUGAAUCCUUAAAGACAUUGUCUUAGUCUCUAAGAUUAAUUUUUUUUUAACUUAUUAAUUUAUAUUAGAUAAUUAGAGAUCUAUUGAUAUUUAUGUCAAUCAAUUACAUCUAUUAUAUAAUAUUAGCACAACCCAUAUAUCUAUCCUCACAUGUAUUGGAGGAAUAUAUAAUCCACUCACAAAUGUAAGAGAGAAUUCUAUAAAAAUACGCAAUCAAGAUUCAAAAUCAGACUAAAUGAAAAAUAGUAAAAGUUUUGACUUUCUGGUGAGAUUAAUGAGUGUGAAAUCACACCUAAAUAAUUUGUAUUAUUAUCAAUCACAAAAAUAUUAUGCUUACAUGUACUAAAGAGUAUGACUUUAUCGUCAACAAUCGACAUAAUGCAUUGAAUACAUCUAAUUGCGUCUUUGCUUGAAAUAUUUAAUCACCAUAGAAUUUUCAUUAAUAUAACUAGUCCUAAUUAAAUUAAUUAAAGGCUUGAAUAGCAACAAUAAACCACCCCCCCCCCCCUCCCCCCAAACCAAAAAAAAAAUUCCAUUAAACGUAAAGUGAUCAUGUUGAUGAAUGAAUGGUAGUCUUUAGCAAUAUGGGUCCAAAAGAAACUUGGGCAUAUAUUCCUUGGACUAUAUUUGGUAUUUAUUUACGUACUCAAAACAAAAAUAAAAUGGGAAUGUGUAAAUGCCGCAAUGGACACUAGUUGAUCCUAAGUACUCAAGAAUCUUCAUUUUAAACUUUAGUGGCUUUUCUUCAUAUGCACUAAUCAAGCCAUACCGUCUCUAUUCUAUCUUUGGUAGCUUGAACAAGCAAGUAAAUAAGCACUUCUUAUUCCUAGCCACACACAACACGAAACAUGUUUUGAUUCAACGCACGGCUUUUGGAAAAAAAAAAAAAAAAGGCUUUUUAAUUUCCUCAUCCUUAUACUACAGAUAGUUUAAUUACCCCUCGUAUUUUUCACGGUUGCUUUGGUGUCUCUUAAGUCAAAAGCAGUUACAUUAGCCAAUCUUUCUUCCUAUUCUAAAGUAAUUUCAAUUAAAGUCACUCGUCAAAAUCUUAACGUUUCAGGGAAGUACUUUUUCUGGAACUCCAAUCCCAUAUUUCCUUUUUUAACACAAACCCAAUUAACGUUUUGAUUAAUAUGAAACCAAAUUCUACCUAAUGCACCAAGACCUGGCAGCUAAUUAAGUCCAAUGGUUGCUUGCUCACAGAAACGGCAAAAAGAAAAAAAAUAUAUAAACAUUGUAGUGGUUUCAUAAUUUCUACUAACUUUAUCAUACUGGGUACACAAAGAAAAAAACUUGAUAGCAUUAACUUUAUUUCACGCAAUCCCUAAACAAAUGAACCAAAUAAGUAAUGCGUAGAGGGAACUACAUUAAACUCAUUAUGAUAAGGCAAAUUUGAAAAACUUGACAAAAUGAUCCAGUGUUAGCUGCACAUGUCUGGGCAAUGUAAGUAAUGAAAUGUUUUGAGUUCUGGGAUAGUUUUCCUUUCUGAUUCGAGAAACACAGAAUGGUAUACAUAUGUCACAUAUUUGUAAAGUUUUUGUUGGACUUUUACACAAUAUAAAUGAUCAUUUUCUAAAAUGUAAUUCUGUACGUGAUCGUAUAAAUUGAUGGAAUUGCAUAUACGUACCCUUGAGUUAAUUUCUUGCAAAACUCAAAAGCGGUAAUGGAUGCUGAUCUGAUGCGGUCUUAUUGCAGCGAGUCAGGUGCAGCAGGCAGAAAAUGGUGGGAAUAAUUACAUUGUUGUUUUUGUGAUAAAGGGUGGAAGCACCGCCAAGCCAAUUUAAGAAAGGAAAAAGAAAUUUGAAAUUUAUAGCCAUGGGAGAAGGUGCACAUACUUUAGGCAUCUGAUGCAAAUCAGAACUAAAAAAUGAAGAGAAAUCUGGAUUUAUAUAUAUAUACUGAUCUAUUCUUAUCUUUGUACCUUGUUUUAAUUUAUUUUAUUAAGUAAAAUCAAUCACUUGUUAUCUUUAUUUUUCAGACAAUCCCGAGGGGUAAACCAGUGAAUUUAUAUAGAAAACAACGGAACUACGAAGCUGUUCUGUUUCAGCUUUACACGUAAUUGGCCGAAGGAAAUAGUCAGGUGGGGAUAAUCAAAAACCUCGUUCACUUCUCAUCUCGACACGUGUCAAUGUCCAUUUAUUUAAUUACCUCACCCCUCCUCUUCUAAGUCUGGGAUUUCCCUUAUUUAUUUUUUUAAGAAAAAAAAUGUCUAAGGUUUUCCCCCGUGGCCUCUCCACCGUCUGAUCAAAGAAAUAGGGUAUAAUAACA
rnacentral:lncRNA from 1 species